AUUGAACGCUGGCGGCAUGCUUUACACAUGCAAGUCGAACGGCAGCGCGGGCUUCGGCCUGGCGGCGAGUGGCGAACGGGUGAGUAAUACAUCGGAACGUGCCCAGUAGUGGGGGAUAGCUCGGCGAAAGCCGGAUUAAUACCGCAUACGACCUGAGGGUGAAAGCGGGGGAUCUUCGGACCUCGCGCUAUUGGAGCGGCCGAUGGCAGAUUAGCUAGUUGGUGGGGUAAAGGCCUACCAAGGCGACGAUCUGUAGCUGGUCUGAGAGGACGACCAGCCACACUGGGACUGAGAAACGGCCCAGACUCCUACGGGAGGCAGCAGUGGGGAAUUUUGGACAAUGGGCGAAAGCCUGAUCCAGCAAUGCCGCGUGUGUGAUGAAGGCCUUCGGGUUGUAAAGCACUUUUGGCGGGAACGAAAAGGACUGUGCCAAUACCACGGUUCGAUGACGGUACCCGCAGAAUAAGCACCGGCUAACUACGU
rnacentral:rRNA from 1 species